rnacentral:rRNA from 1 species
UACGGAGGGGACUAGCGUUGUUCGGAAUUACUGGGCGUAAAGCGCACGUAGGCGGAUUUGUAAGUCAGGGGUGAAAUCCCGGGGCUCAACCCUGGAAUUGCAUUGAAUACUACCUUGCUAGAGUACCGGAGAGGAAACUGGAAUUUACGGUGUAGCAGUGAAAUGCGUAGAGAUCGUAAGGAAGACCAGUGGCGAAGGCGAGUUUCUGGACGGUAACUGACGCUGAGGCACGAAGGCCAGGGGAGCAAACGGG